UACAGAGGUCCCAAGCGUUGUUCGGAUUCAUUGGGCGUAAAGGGUGCGUAGGCGGCGCGGUAAGUCGGGUGUGAAAUCUCGGGGCUUAACUCCGAAACUGCAUUCGAUACUGCCGUGCUUGAGGACUGGAGAGGAGACUGGAAUUUACGGUGUAGCUGGUGAAAUGCGUAGAUAUCGUAAGGAAGACCAGUGGCGAAGGCGGGUCUCUGGACAGUUCCUGACGCUGAGGCACGAAGGUCAGGGGAGCAAACGGG
rnacentral:rRNA from 1 species